rnacentral:snRNA from 1 species
GUGCUCGCUUUGGCAGCACAUAGACCAAAAUUGGAACGAUACAGAGAAGAUUAGCAUGGCCCCUGUACAAGGAUGACAUGCAAAUUUGUGAAGCAUUCCAAAAGAAA